rnacentral:misc_RNA from 1 species
GGUCAGUUGGCGCUCGCUGUAAGAAUUUGAACGGUUCGCGACUUCGUAUCGGCGAACCCUGGAAGACAUCACCGCGAGAAAAGAAUUAGGGUUUUGCAGAUACCCAGGGAACUCUCCUUCCUCCGUCAAUGGCGUCUGAUCCUCCCCGGACACGGAUCGAUCAGUUUUUUGCUUCAAAAAAGAGGAAAUCUAGAUCUCCUGGUUUGAAGAGUGGGAGAGUUGAGAAAGAUGGAAGAACCACAUCAGAAGGGUCUUCUAGUGCAAAAGGCACUUUGGACAAUUACUUAGUGAAUUCCCAAGACCCAAACCAUGGUGCCAAGCUUUCAUCCAUGGCUUGUGGAUUGUUGGCCAGGCAAGAUUCUGUCAAGAGAAAUCUGGCACUGGAGAUAAAUAAUAUCUCCAAAGAGGAAAAUAAGGGUCCUUUUUUGGUAGCUAAUAUGGAUUCUCAAACUUCUAAAGGAUUUGAAGCGGUUAAGAGGGAAACAUCUCAAGGUUCGUCAAAUGCAGGCAAUGUUGCAUUUGAAGGCCUUGCUAAAGGUUUCCCAGUUUCGAACCACAGUGCAGAAAACUUGGAAAUAAAACAGUUUGCAAAUGACUUUCUGUCUUUGUACUGUGAACUCCAGUCAACUGCAACAUCUCCGUCUAAGCCCAAGUUGAAUGACAAUAAGAGAAAUGUUAGUCAACUGUUGAAUGAUGAAGGUAAAACAUUGAAUAAGAGGCAUUGCAUAAGCAUAGUGUCACAUUCAGGAGGUGAAACUGUGAAGUCUAUGGACAACAAGACAGAAAACAAACAGUCUGCUUUUACUGAAAAAGCUGAAACGCCUUUUACCAAUGCAUCUUGGGGGAUCACUUUUGGCAAUGAUCCCUCUCAGCUUGCAGCAAGCUUGAGAAAAUGCACAAGAGCGUCUAAAUCAAUUCAUGAAAUGACUGAAUGCUGUACACCUGGUUCAUCAAUUGUACGAGCAAGUGUUAGUGAAACCCCCAUGUCAAUGCGUGGAAGCUCCAUGUUUUCACCAGGAGAAGCAUUCUGGAAUGAGGCAAUUCAAAUUGUUGAUGGUUUAUUUGCUGAUGCUGGUAAUCCUCUUGCCUUGGCUGCUGAAGAUGUUAUCAAUGGAAGUUGUUGUGACAAGGCAAGGCAAAUUUUGGAUGAAGCAAGCAGCAGAGGUCAGCAGAUGCAAAAUGGUGGUUUUCUUGAGUUAAAUAGGACACAUAUGAGCGAUUCAACUAAAGUGUCUCCCUUGCCUGUCAAACAUCUUGACUUUUUGUUUGAUGACAAGAACUUGGAUGCAACUUCCCCUUGCUGUGCUAGUGAUAAUUCAAAUGUGCACAAGGGUUUUGAGCAAUCUGAACGUGGUUCUGUAAAUGUCAAAAGCUCACGAACUGUUAAAAUAGCAACUUAUAAUGAGGCUGAAACAAAACAAGAGAUGCGUGGAGUAGAUGGGAUUGUGUCUGUUCAUGCAGUGACUAAAAGUGAAGCAUAUUUGUCAAAUCAAGACACUGGCAGCAUAACAUCAAAUUCACCAGUUCAAGAAGUCGGGGUUUCUGUUGCUAAUAAUGGUUAUGGUGAUGCGGGUACUCCUUCAAGUUUUGUGCUGCUCAAAGACCAAUUAGAUCUUGGCAGUUGGCUUCCUUCCGAAGUAUGCAGCAUAUACAAAAAGAGAGGAAUUUCAAAACUGUACGCUUGGCAGGUUGACUGUCUUCAGGUGGAAGGAGUUUUACAGAGAAGGAAUCUGGUGUACUGUGCAUCUACAAGUGCUGGUAAAAGUUUUGUUGCAGAAAUUUUGAUGCUGAGGCGGGUCAUACUUACCAGCAAAAUUGCACUUCUUGUGCUUCCUUAUGUAUCAAUUUGUGCAGAAAAGGCCGAACAUUUGGAGGGCCUUUUGGAACCACUUGGCAAGCAUGUUCGGAGUUAUUACGGAAGCCAAGGUGGCGGAACACUUCCUAAAGAUACUUCUGUAGCUGUCUGCACAAUAGAGAAAGCGAACUCUUUAAUUAACAGAUUGCUGGAAGAGGGCCGUUUAUCAGAAAUUGGAAUCAUUGUGAUAGAUGAACUGCACAUGGUUGGUGAUCAGAGUAGGGGUUAUCUUUUGGAACUUAUGUUGACAAAGCUUCGGUAUGCUGCUGGUGAAGGCAAUUCAGAAUCUAGCAGUGGGGAAAGCUCAGGUACAAGCAGUAAGGGUGAUCCUGCUCACGGUAUGCAAAUUGUUGGCAUGAGCGCAACCAUGCCAAAUGUGGCAGCAGUUGCUGAUUGGCUUCAAGCAGCAUUAUACCAGACAGAUUUCCGACCUGUUCCACUAGAGGAAUUUAUUAAAGUUGGCAACACAAUUUAUGACAAGAAAAUGGAUAUCGUCAGAACAAUUCCAAAAGCAGCUGAUCUUGGUGGUAAAGAUCCAGAUCAUAUUGUGGAACUGUGCAAUGAGGUUGUUCAAGAGGGUCAUUCAGUGUUAAUAUUUUGCUCAAGUCGAAAAGGAUGUGAAUCAACUGCCAAGCACAUUUCCAAAUUCCUGAAGAAGUUUACCGUUAACAUUCAGAAUGAUAGUGAAUUUCUAGAUAUUUCUUCAGCAAUUGAUGCAUUAAGAAGAUGCCCUGUGGGGUUGGAUCCUACAUUAGAAGAGACUCUUCCUUCUGGUGUUGCUUAUCAUCAUGCUGGCCUCACUGUUGAAGAAAGAGAAAUUAUAGAAAGUUGCUAUCGCAGGGGCCUUUUACGUGUCUUAACUGCUACAUCUACUUUAGCUGCUGGGGUUAACCUUCCUGCUAGGAGGGUCAUUUUUCGACAACCUAGGAUAGGUCGUGAUUUUAUUGAUGGGACAAGGUACAGACAGAUGGCUGGCCGGGCUGGUCGGACUGGGAUUGACACUAAAGGGGAAAGUAUACUUAUUUGCAAACCAGAAGAACUCAAAAGAAUUAUGGGACUGCUUAAUGAAAGCUGUCCACCUUUGCAGUCUUGUCUCUCUGAAGAUAAAAAUGGAAUGACUCAUGCAAUUUUAGAAGUUGUGGCUGGUGGAAUUGUUCAAACUGCUAAUGAUAUUCAUCGAUAUGUUAGAUGUACUCUUUUGAAUUCUACAAAACCAUUCAGAGAUGUUGUGAAAUCAGCACAGGAUUCUCUUCGGUGGUUGUGCCACAGAAAAUUUCUCGAAUGGUGUGAAGAUACGAAGUUAUAUAGCACCACAUCACUUGGACGUGCAGCUUUUGGUAGUUCUUUUUGUCCCGAAGAAUCACUGAUUGUGCUAGAUGACCUUUCUAGAGCAAGAGAAGGAUUUGUGCUUGCAUCUGAUUUGCAUCUAGUGUACUUAGUCACACCAAUCAAUGUUGAAGUUGAACCAGAUUGGGAAUUGUAUUAUGAAAGGUUCAUGGAGUUGUCUUCUCUUGAUAAGUCUGUUGGAAAUCGAGUUGGAGUUUUGGAACCAUUUUUGAUGCGUAUGGCACAUGGAGCACCUAUGCGCACACUGAACAAGUCGACCAAGAAUAUGAAAGAGUUGCAUGGAAAGUUAGAAACUCGUCAUAGGAAUUCAAACAACAAUAUGAUUUCAGAGGAGCAAUCACUUCGAGUGUGCAAACGAUUUUAUGUUGCUCUUAUCCUAUCAAGACUAGUGCAGGAAACACCUGUGGCUGAGGUUUGUGAAGCUUUUAAGGUUUCUAGAGGCAUGGUUCAAGCUUUACAAGAAAAUUCUGGAAGGUUUGCAUCUAUGGUUUCUUUGUUUUGUGAGAGACUUGGAUGGCAUGAUUUGGAAGGCUUGGUUGCCAAGUUCCAAAAUCGUGUUUCAUUCGGGGUGAGAGCAGAGAUUGUGGAGCUUACCACUAUUCCAUAUGUUAAGGGUUCUCGAGCAAGAUCAUUGUAUAAAGCAGGCUUGCGUACGCCUCUCGCUAUUGCUGAAGCAUCUGUUUCUGAAAUAGUUAAAGCUCUUUUUGAAUCCACAUCAUGGGCUGCUCAAGAGGGUUCAGCACAGAGGCGCAUGCAAUUGGGUGUUGCAAAGAAAAUUAAGAAUGGCGCUCGGAAAAUUGUCCUUGAUAAAGCUGAAGAGGCAAGGGCUGCUGCUUUCUCAGCUUUUAAAUCUCUUGGGCUGAAUGUCCCACAGUUUUCUCAACCGUCAUUAACGAAAGCUUGUAUAAAUGUUGUUGAACAAGUUGAUGCAAGUAAAUUAUCUGGAGAAGACACCACUAAUGUAAUUCUUUGUUUAGAACAAAGAGACCAUGCUUCAUCUGACCUGUGCAUAGAAGGUAGCAAGAAUUCUGCUAAAGUUACUUUGGGAAGUGGAGAAAAGUUAAUGAAAACAAUAGAUGUUGGCUUAGUGGCUCCAGCAGAAGUGAACUCAGCUGGUCUGGUGGAACAGAAUUGUGGUGCUGCAAAUUCUACAUUACCUGUUGAAAAGUCUUUGACCCUUGGUACUGAGCUGCAUACAACUAGUAAUCAAAACUCAAAUGCUAUUAUGGUCCUAUCUGUAAAGCCAGGGCAAGAUGGUGAUGGUGCUGGGAUAAAUGACAGGAGUAUUCAUUAUGAGGUACAGGAUCAGUGUAGUAGAGAGAAUUUAUGUGGUGACAACAUGGAUAGUACUUGUGAGAAGAGCCCAAUUAAUGCAAGUAAUACUCCGGGUGGAUUUGAUUCUUUCUUGGCCCUCUGGGACAAUGCCCAAGAAUUCUAUUUUGACCUCCAUUACAAUAAAAGAUCAGAAGUAAAUUCCAUCACACCCUUUGAAAUACAUGGUAUGGCCAUCUGUUGGGAAAACUCUCCUGUGUACUAUGUCAAUCUUCCUAAAGAUCUAGUAUGGUCUGAGAAUCAUAAGAAUGUUCUACCCCAUGAGAAUUGGUUAGAGAUGGUUAGGCAUAGGUGGAAUCGUAUUGGUGAAAUAAUGGGGAAGAAGGAGGUCAAAAAAUUCACUUGGAAUCUGAAAAUUCAGAUUCAGGUGCUCAAGAAAGCUGCAGUUUCCAUUCAGAGAUUUGGCAGCCCAAAUCUUUCAGGGAAAAGUUUGGAUAUUGAACUCUUAGACAAUUCACACUUCUUGUUGUCCCCAGUUAAUAUUAAAGAAGGAAUUGACAUGUGCGUUGUGGCAUGGAUUCUUUGGCCUGAUGAGGAGAGAAGCUCUAAUCCAAACUUGGAGAAGGAAGUCAAGAAAAGGUUACCUAGUGAGGCUGUUGCAGCUGCUAAUCGGAAGGGAAGGUGGAAGAAUCAGAUGCGUAGAGCUGCUCAUAAUGGUUGCUGUCGUCGGGUUGCUCAAACACGAGCUUUAUGUUCUGUUCUUUGGAAGUUACUUAUUUCUGAGGGACUUUUUGAACCUCUUAACGACAUUGAGAUUCCAUUGGUUAACGUUCUUGCGGAAAUGGAGCUUUGGGGGAUUGGUGUUGACAUGGAAGGAUGCCUUCAAGCUCGUAAAGUUCUAGGGAAAAAGUUAAGGCAUCUUGAGCAGAAGGCCUAUGAACUGGCUGGCAUGACAUUCUCAUUGUAUACAGCAGCAGAUGUUGCAAAUGUGCUGUAUGAACACUUGAAGCUGCCCAUACCAGAAGGGGGUAAAGGGAAACAACAUCCAAGCACUGACAAACAUUGUUUGGAUUUGUUAAGAAAUGAGCAUCCUAUUAUUCCAGUCAUAAGAGAGCACCGGACAUUGGCAAAGCUUUUAAACUGUACAUUGGGUUCAAUUUGUUCACUGGCUAGGAUAUCCAUGAGGACACAAAAGCACACACUGCAUGGCCAUUGGCUCCAGACGUCUACAUCAACCGGACGACUUUCAAUGGAAGAACCUAAUCUUCAGUGUGUUGAGCAUAUGGUUGAAUUCAGAAUGAGUAUGGAUGAAAAUGGACGUGUUGAUGAUGGCAAUCAUUAUAAAAUAAAUGCUCGUGACUUCUUUGUUCCUACUCAGGACAAUUGGUUGCUGUUAACAGCAGAUUAUUCUCAGAUAGAAUUGCGCCUGAUGGCACACUUCUCUAAAGAUGCCUCAUUAAUUGAACUCCUCAGUAAUCCGUGUGGUGAUGUUUUCACCAUGAUGGCGGCGAGAUGGACUGGGAAGCCAGAAGAUUCUGUCGCAUCAGAUGAGAGAGAUCAGACCAAAAGGUUGGUAUACGGCAUUCUUUAUGGAAUGGGUGCCAACACUCUUGCAGAGCAACUGAAUUGCAGUUCAGAAGAAGCUGCAGAAAAAAUUAAAAGCUUCAAAGGUUCUUUUCCUGGUGUUGCUUCGUGGCUCCAUGAAGCAGUUGACUCCUGCCGUAAAAAUGGUUAUGUGGAGACCCUCAAGGGAAGAAAGCGGUUCCUGUCAAAAAUAAAAUUUGGAAACAGUAAAGAAAAAUCAAAGGCUCAGAGACAAGCAGUUAAUUCUAUCUGUCAGGGAUCUGCUGCUGAUAUAAUUAAGAUUGCAAUGAUAAAUAUAUACUCUGUAAUUGUCAGAGUUGAUGGCCCAGAUUCUAGCUCUUCACUUGCAACUAAGUUUCACAUGCUGAAGGGGCAGUGCCGAAUUCUUUUGCAGGUACAUGAUGAAUUAGUCUUGGAAAUUGACUCCCGAGUGACCAAGGAGGCUGCAUCAUUGUUAAAAAUUAGUAUGGAAAAUGCUGCGUCUCUUCUUGUUCCUUUGCAAGUCAAACUGAAAGUUGGAAGAACAUGGGGUUCCUUGGAGCCUUACGAGGUUGAUCAAUGUAAAAAUGAAGUUCUUGUGCUUGAUUCUUAAGGACGGGAGAUAGCUCUUGGUUGAUAUUAGGUGGUGAAGAUUGAUGGCAAUUUGAACCAGUGGAUGCCAGCUUAUAUGCUCAGGUUAGGCAAUGCAUUUGUCAAGGAAGGGGGCUUCUAGUUGGGAACCCAAACAGCGUGGUCCUGAGGAAGGAAAUGGCAAACAGGAACUGUUCCUGGCUUAACUUUGAGCACCUGGAAAGCCAAAUGCUUUGGGUUCCAAGCUGAUGUAUCUGUAUGGCAGACUGCUACUGCUUGAGCCUUUUUUUUCUAUCAGGAAACUCUAAGGAAACCAUGUAAGCUCUCGUGGUUUGUGUUGAAUGGCAAUAAAAGACAGCACAUGCAUAGUUCUGCCCAUCUUCCUUGCUCCAGGUGUAAUUGUAUAUUUCUGCGACUGAGUUUGAUUUUCCACCUCCUUGGAGAUUGCCUGGACAUUCUUUCCAAGUACAGAAGUGCUGAAGUCAAUCAUCGACUCUAGCGAAGUUGCGCAAUAUUUCACCUCUCCUUUAAUACCAGGUUCUUCACACUCUCUGAUUGUAUUCUUUAUUAUCUCGGCUUCCAUUGAUCCUUCUUUUACUGAAAACUGGUUAUAAAUCUCUGGCAACUUGUCAGAUGAAAAAGGUAUCGAAUUGGCAGUUUGACGUGAUAUGAAGGUUGCCUUAUUUGGGUUUUCAGCAAAGUUCAAGUUCAUUGUUUUGCUGGGAUACAUGUCCUUUUCCAAGAAAAAAAGAGCCACAUUUGGGUCAUCAUGGAGUUGAUUUUCAGUAGCGGCAUAAUGGUAGAUGAAUGGGCCAUAUUUAGGUUUUACUCCAACAUACACGGGCUUUCCCUUGUGUCCAGUGUUUACAUUUGCUCCACCAUUCCCAACGUUAACAGAAGUGCCGCCAGGUUUUCCUUUCCCUGUAUUAACAUUUACACCUCCCUUUCCUACACGGACAGAAGUGCUUUUCUUGUCCAUGAAGUCUGCAAUUUAGCUGCGUUAGUUGUAAUUAAGAUCUUAGAAAGGAAAGGCUGAUCAAAAUCUCUGUACUCAAUAAGACAAAAAAAAUAAUGUGUUGUCCGUGUAAGCUACAGAUAUGCACCAUCACCUUAACAGAAUACUUCGUGAAUCUUUUAGAAAUCAAAGUAACAACAGAGAAUUAAGUUGAACAGUGCAGCAAACUUCAUAGAAAUUCUAUUUCUGUUGAAAUUAUGUAAAGAGUAGCUGAGGUCUUGAGUACUGACCUGGCUGUAGAAGAUCUUUCACAGCUUUUGGCAUUGGAGUGUUGGGCAGAACAGAAUUCCAGUAUUGCUCGGGAGGUAAAGUAGCCAGGCUUGUCACUAGCGCAAUCUGCAGCAGUAGGUAAGUAUAUAUGAAAAACUUCCUUAAAAUACUAUUUAUAUGAUAAUAAAUGGAAAUAUAUAUACUAUAAAAACAGAUUUAGGAAACGAGAAAUCUUUUCUAAUAAAACUAGUGCAAGAUUCAGAGCUUACAGCGAGAAAAACAAGUAUGUGUGGAAGAUGAAACUCCAUUUGAACUUUGAACAUGAAACAGAAAACAAGGCAAUUAUAGUGAAAGAAAACAACUGAAGUAUUAGAUUUACAAGGAAGAAAGAGCCAGUUGUAACAUAUAUAGAGAUUUUGUCCACAGGAGUACUGCAACUUGAAUAGCAACACAUCACCCGCAUUAUCAACCGGCUUAAUUGCUUCAACUGUCCCUGGUUCACUCACUUAAUGCAAUUGGCAUCGAGUGGGACAGGUGUAAUAGGAACAAGAAUUGAUGUGCUAGUGUGGUAAAUAGAAACUAUAUAUAUAUCCCUAAUCAGUAAUGGAUUUCAAGUUUCAAUUUGAUUUUUAAAAACUUUCCUCUCUGCAUAACGUGGAACCAGAAUGGCUCCUUAUGUCCUG